GGGGUUGUAGCUCAGUGGUAGAGUGCUCGCCUAGUACUAGUGUGAGGCCCUUUGUUGGAUCCUCAGCACCACA
rnacentral:tRNA from 1 species